CCUACGGGAGGCAGCAGUGAGGAAUAUUGGUCAAUGGGCGCGAGCCUGAACCAGCCAAGUAGCGUGAAGGAUGACUGCCCUACGGGUUGUAAACUUCUUUUAUAAAGGAAUAAAGUGAGGCACGUGUGCCUUUUUGUAUGUACUUUAUGAAUAAGGAUCGGCUAACUCCGUGCCAGCAGCCGCGGUAAUACGGAGGAUCCGAGCGUUAUCCGGAUUUAUUGGGUUUAAAGGGAGCGUAGGUGGGUUGUUAAGUUAGUUGUGAAAGUUUGAGGCUCAACCGUAAAAUUGCCAUUGAUACUGGUAGUCUUGAGUACAGUUGAGGGAGGCGGAAUUCGUGGUGUAGCGGUGAAAUGCUUAGAUAUCACGCAGAACACCGAUUGCGAAGGCAGCUUACCAAACUGCCACUGACGUUGAUGCACGAAAGUGUGGGUAUCAAACAGGAUUAGAUACCCGGGUAGUC
rnacentral:rRNA from 1 species